CCUACGGGGUGCAGCAGUGAGGAAUAUUGGUCAAUGGACGAGAGUCUGAACCAGCCAAGUAGCGUGUAGGAUGACUGCCCUAUGGGUUGUAAACUUCUUUUAUAUGGGAAUAAAAUGUUCCACGUGUGGGAUUUUGUAUGUACCAUAUGAAUAAGGAUCGGCUAACUCCGUGCCAGCAGCCGCGGUAAUACGGAGGAUCCGAGCGUUAUCCGGAUUUAUUGGGUUUAAAGGGAGCGUAGGUGGAUUGUUAAGUCAGUUGUGAAAGUUUGCGGCUCAACCGUAAAAUUGCAGUUGAAACUGGCAGUCUUGAGUACAGUAGAGGUGGGCGGAAUUCGUGGUGUAGCGGUGAAAUGCUUAGAUAUCACGAAGAACUCCGAUUGCGAAGGCAGUUCACUGGACUGCAACUGACACUGAGGCUCGAAAGUGUGGGUAUCAAACAGGAUUAGAUACCCUUGUAGUC
rnacentral:rRNA from 1 species